rnacentral:rRNA from 1 species
AAGAAACCAACAGGGAUUGCCCCAGUAACGGCGAGCGAAGCGGCAAUAGCCCAGAUUUGAAAUCCGGUGCCCGAUUGGGAACCUGAGUUGUAAUCUGUAGAGGAUGUCGCUGAUUGACAGAAUUCCCGAAGUCCCCUGGAAUGGGGUGCCAUAGAGGGUGAGAGCCCCGUGCGGGAAGGCUGGACGGUCAUUAUGCGGCUCCUUCGGCGAGUCGAGUAGUUUGGGAAUGCUGCUCUAAAUGGGAGGUAAAUUCCUUCUAAGGCUAAAUAUCGGCCGGAGACCGAUAGCGCACAAGUAGAGUGAUCGAAAGAUGAAAAGCACUUUGAAAAGAGGGUUAAACAGUACGUGAAAUUGUUGAAAGGGAAGCGCCCGCGACCAGACUUGUAUUCGAGUGAUCCCCUAGCGUUCGUCGAUAGGUUACUCAUUCGGCAUUACAGGCCAGCAUCGGUUAGUGUUCAGGGGAUAAGUGCAGUAGGAACGUGACUUUCCCUCGUGGAAAGUGUUAUAGCCUGUUGCAAAGUACUCUGACACCGAUCGAGGCCCGCGCAAUUGCACGGAUGCUGGCAUAAUGGUCGCUGGCGACCCGUCUUGAAACACGGACCAAGGAGUCGAGGUUUUCCGCGAGUGUGCGGGUGUUAAACCCGCCCGCGAAAUGAAAGUGAACGUAGGUGAGAGCCUUUACUGGCGCACCACCGACCGAUCCCAAAGUCUUCUGCGGGAAUCGAGUACGAGCGGUAAGCCUCGGACCCGAAAGAUGACGAACUAUGCCUGCAUAGAAUGAAGCCAGAGGAAACUCUGGUGGAGGUUCGCAGCGGUUCUGACGUGCAAAUCGAUCGUCAAAUGUGGGCAUGGGGGCGAAAGACUAAUCGAGUCAUCUAGUAGCUGGUUACCGCC